AUCCAGAUGAGGAGUCCCAAAAAUAGGACGAAACGCAUGUCCUAGAU
rfam:Schistosoma mattheei strain Denwood, Zambia genome assembly, scaffold: SMTD_scaffold0000690